UACGGAGGGUGCGAGCGUUGUCCGGAAUCACUGGGCGUAAAGGGCGCGUAGGCGGCCGUGUAAGUCACUUGUGAAAUCCCGGGGCUCAACUCCGGGGCUGCAGGUGAGACUGCGUGGCUAGAGCUUGGUAGAGGAGAGUGGAAUUCCCGGUGUAGCGGUGGAAUGCGUAGAUAUCGGGAGGAACACCGGUGGCGAAGGCGGGUCUCUGGGCAGUAACUGACGCUGAGGAGCGAAAGCGUGGGGAGCGAACAGG
rnacentral:rRNA from 1 species